AGUCGAACGACGUUACGGGGGCAACUCCGUAGCGAGUGGCGUACGGGUGAGUAAUGCAUCGGAACGUGCCCUCUUGUGGGGGAUAACCAGUCGAAAGAUUGGCUAAUACCGCAUGAGCUCGAGAGAGGAAAGCGGGGGAUCCGCAAGGACCUCGCGCGAGAGGAGCGGCCGAUGCCCGAUUAGCUAGUUGGUGGGGUAAUAGCCCACCAAGGCGACGAUCGGUAGCUGGUCUGAGAGGACGACCAGCCACACUGGGACUGAGACACGGCCCAGACUUCUACGGGAGGCAGCAGUGGGGAAUUUUGGACAAUGGGGGAAACCCUGAUCCAGCCAUGCCGCGUGUGUGAAGAAGGCCUUCGGGUUGUAAAGCACUUUCGGACGGAACGAAAUCGCGCGGGUGAACAAUCCGCGUGGAUGACGGUACCGUAGGAAGAAGCACCGGCUAACUACGUGCCAGCAGCCGCGGUAAUACGUAGGGUGCGAGCGUUAAUCGGAAUUACUGGGCGUAAAGCGUGCGCAGGCGGCGCCGCAAGUCAGGCGUGAAAUCCCCGAGCUUAACUUGGGAAUGGCGCUUGAAACUACGGUGCUGGAGUGUGGCAGAGGGAGGUGGAAUUCCACGUGUAGCGGUGAAAUGCGUAGAGAUGUGGAGGAACACCGAUGGCGAAGGCAGCCUCCUGGGCCAACACUGACGCUCAUGCACGAAAGCGUGGGGAGCAAACAGGAUUAGAUACCCUGGUAGUCCACGCCCUAAACGAUGAUGACUAGUUGUUGGGGG
rnacentral:rRNA from 1 species